rnacentral:rRNA from 1 species
AACGAACGCUGGCGGCAUGCCUAACACAUGCAAGUCGAACGAGACCUUCGGGAGUAGUGGCGCACGGGUGCGUAAGGCGUGGGAACCUGCACUUAGGUUUGGAAUAACUCCACGAAAGGGGUGAUAAUUCGGGAUAAUGUCUUAGGACCAAAGAUUUAUCGCCUUUGGAUGGGCCCGCGUUGGAUUAGCUAGUUGGUAGGGUAAAAGCCUACUAAGGCGCCGAUCCAUAGCUGGUCUGAGAGGAUGAUCAGCCACACUGAGACUGAGACACGGCCCAGACUCCUACGGGAUGCAGCAGUGGCGAAUAUUGGACAGUGGGCGAAAGCCUGAUCCAGCUAUGCCGCGUGAGUGAUGAAGGCCUUAGGGUUGUAAAGCUCUUUUACCCGGGAUGAUAAUGACAGUACCUGGUGAGUAAGCCCCGGCUAACUCCGUG